rnacentral:rRNA from 1 species
UACGUAGGGGGCGAGCGUUGUCCGGAUUUAUUGGGCGUAAAACGCUUGUAGGCGGCCACCGCGCGUCGGACGUGAAAUCUCCCGGCUCAACUGGGAGGGUCGUGCGAUACGGCGGGGCUCGAGGCCGGUAGGGGGACGCGGAAUUCCCGGUGUAGUGGUGGAAUGCGUAGAUAUCGGGAGGAACACCAGUGGCGCAGGCGGCGUCCUGGACCGGCACUGACGCUGAGGAGCGAAAGCGUGGGGAGCGAUCCGG